rnacentral:misc_RNA from 1 species
UUUAUGAGCAGGUCACAUGGC